rnacentral:rRNA from 1 species
GUCCACGCCGUAAACGAUGGGCACUAGGCGUCGGGGGGAGCGACCCUCCCGGUGCCGUCGCUAACGCAGUAAGUGCCCCGCCUGGGGAGUACGGCCGCAAGGCUGAAACUCAAAGGAAUUGACGGGGGCCCCGCACAAGCGGUGGAGCAUGUGGUUUAAUUCGAAGCAACGCGAAGAACCUUACCUGGGCUUGACAUGCUGGUGAAAGCCGGUGGAAACAUCGGUCCCUCUUCGGAGCACCAGCACAGGUGCUGCAUGGCUGUCGU